rnacentral:rRNA from 1 species
CAGCACCUCAAGUGGUCAGGAUGAUUAUUGGGCCUAAAGCAUCCGUAGCCUGCUUUGUAAGUUUUCGGUUAAAUCCAUACGCUCAACGUAUGGGCUGCCGGGAAUACUGCAAGGCUAGGGAGUGGGAGAGGUAGACGGUACUCGGUAGGAAGGGGUAAAAUCCUUUGAUCUAUUGAUGACCACCUGUGGCGAAGGCGGUCUACCAGAACACGUCCGACGGUGAGGGAUGAAAGCUGGGGGAGCGAACCGGAUUAGAUACCCGAGUAGUCC